rnacentral:rRNA from 1 species
AGAGAUGUGUGAUGACGCAUAUCAAUAAGCGGAGGAAAAGAAACUAACAAGGAUUCCCUUAGUAACGGCGAGUGAAGCGGGAAGAGCUCAAAUUUGAAAUCUUCAAGGUUCUACCUUGACGAAUUGUAGUUUAUAGAAGUGUUUUCUGUUAGUGGAGUGGCAAAAGUUCUUUGGAAUAGGACAUCAUAGAGGGUGAGAAUCCCGUAUUUGGUCAUUCCUCCUAGCGUUGUGAUACACUUUCAACGAGUCGGAUUGUUUGGGAAUGCAGUCCAAAAUGGGUGGUAAAUUUCAUCUAAAGCUAAAUAUUGGCGAGAGACCGAUAGCGAACAAGUACCGUGAGGGAAAGAUGAAAAGAACUUUGAAAAGAGAGUUAAACAGUACGUGAAAUUGUCAAAAGGGAAGCGUUUGACACCAGUGUUGUUUUUCCGAAAAUCAAUUACGAAUGUUUUGUUUUUGAGAAGUUAUGACUUCAUCGGCUUGCUUCUCUCUUUACGAAACUUUCUUAAUGCACUUUUCGGUUAACAAGUCAACAUCAAUUUCUUUUGUUGUAAAAGGGUAUGAGGAAGGUGGCUUUCUUUUCGGAGAAAGUGUUUAUAGCCUUGUACCUCUGCAAUCGGAGAGAUUGAGGUCUGCAGCGUAGAUCCUUCGGGGUUAGAUACAUUUGUGCUAAGUUAUAGCUUUUCAUAGACAACUUGUUGACUUAUGUUAAGUCUUGUAGCUUACUCGCUUAUGCUAUUUUACCUACGCUUAGGAUGUUGAAGAUGUAGCACAUCAU